CUUGGAGAUUCGCCCAUGUCGGGGGGCGGACGCUGGAGAGUACCGCUGCGUGCUGGAGGGUGAAGGGGGCGCCACGGCGUCCACUUCGUGCAUCGUCACCGUCCGCAAGUGCUUCGAGGCACCGUCUUUCGCCCAGGGCUUCAACGCCGCCCAACAGCUGCCGGGAUUGGACAUUCGGUUGACGGUGCGGGCAGAUGGCGUCCCGCGUCCCGAGCUCAGCUGGUUCAAGGACGGCAAGCCAAUCGAUUUCUCCGACGAGCGGUUCAAGGUGCGCAAGGACGGCGCCGCCACGACGCUGCUGCUGCGGGGCUGUGGCUACGGGGACUCGGGCAUCUACCGCUGCGUCGCCAGCAACUCAGAGGGCGCCGCCCAGCACGAGGGCGCUGUAGAGGUCGCCGA